rnacentral:rRNA from 1 species
AUUGAACGCUGGCGGCAUGCUUUACACAUGCAAGUCGAACGGUAACAGGCCGCAAGGUGCUGACGAGUGGCGAACGGGUGAGUAAUGCAUCGGAACGUGCCCAGUCGUGGGGGAUAACGCAGCGAAAGCUGCGCUAAUACCGCAUACGAUCUAUGGAUGAAAGCGGGGGACCGAAAGGCCUCGCGCGAUUGGAGCGGCCGAUGUCAGAUUAGGUAGUUGGUGAGGUAAAGGCUCACCAAGCCAACGAUCUGUAGCUGGUCUGAGAGGACGACCAGCCACACUGGGACUGAGGAACGGCCCAGACUCCUACGGGAGGCAGCAGUGGGGAAUUUUGGACAAUGGGCGCAAGCCUGAUCCAGCAAUGCCGCGUGCAGGAAGAAGGCCUUCGGGUUGUAAACUGCUUUUGUACGGAACGAAACGGUCCGGGUUAAUACCCUGGGCUAAUGACGGUACCGUAAGAAUAAGCACCGGCUAACUACGUGCCAGCCGCCGCAGUAAGAC